GCAUAUCAUAGCGGAGGAAAAGAAACCAACAGGGAUUGUCCUAGUAACGGCGAGUGAAGCGACAACAGCUCAAAUUUGAAAUCUGGCCCCAGGCCCGAGUUGUAAUUUGUAGAGGAUGUUUCUGGUGAGGUGCCUUCCGAGUUCCCUGGAACGGGACGCCAUAGAGGGUGAGAGCCCCGUCUGGUCGUGCGCUAAGCCUUUGUGAAACUCCUUCGACGAGUCGAGUAGUUUGGGAAUGCUGCUCUAAAUGGGAGGUAUACGUCUUCUAAAGCUAAAUAUUGGCCAGAGACCGAUAGCGCACAAGUAGAGUGAUCGAAAGAUGAAAAGCACUUUGAAAAGAGGGUUAAAUAGUACGUGAAAUUGUUGAAAGGGAAGCAUUUAUGACCAGACUUGGGCCCGGUUAAUCAUCCAGCGUUUUCGCUGGUGCACUUGGCCGGCCCAGGCCAGCAUCAGUUUGCCUCGGGGGAUAAAGACAUCGGGAAUGUGGCUUCUUCGGGAGUGUUAUAGCCCGUUGUGUAAUAUCCUGGGGCGGACUGAGGUUCGCGCAUUUGCAAGGAUGCUGGCGUAAUGGUCAUCAAUGACCCGUCUUGAAACACGGACCAAGGAGUCGUCUUCGUAUGCGAGUGUUCGGGUGUCAAACCCCUACGCGUAAUGAAAGUGAACGUAGGUGAGAGCUUCGGCGCAUCACCGACCGAUCCUGAUGUUCUCGGAUGGAUUUGAGUAAGAGCAUACGGGGCCGGACCCGAAAGAAGGUGAACUAUGCCUGUAUAGGGUGAAGCCAGAGGAAACUCUGGUGGAGGCUCGCAGCGGUUCUGACGUGCAAAUCGAUCGUCAAAUAUGGGCAUGGGGGGCGAAAGACUAAUCGAACCUUCUAGUAGCUGGGUUUCCGCCGAAG
rnacentral:rRNA from 1 species